UUUUCUUUUUACUUCAACAUUAUCUUAAUAAAAUUAAAUCUGUUCUUAUCAGUUUAAUAUCUGAUGUGUUUUCUAUGAGAGAACUUUAUAUUAAAUGGAUUUUUGGAACAGGGAGCUGGAUUAGGAGCUUACUCUGUCCACUCCUCGCAUCAGCCCGGUAUUGCAGUACUUCUGGGUAUGGUGCCCUUCCC